GGGUUGUGAGGUUAAGCGACUAAGCGUACACGGUGGAUGCCCUGGCAGUCAGAGGCGAUGAAGGACGUGCUAAUCUGCGAUAAGCGUCGGUAAGGUGAUAUGAACCGUUAUAACCGGCGAUUUCCGAAUGGGGAAACCCAGUGUGUUUCGACACACUAUCAUUAACUGAAUCCAUAGGUUAAUGAGGCGAACCGGGGGAACUGAAACAUCUAAGUACCCCGAGGAAAAGAAAUCAACCGAGAUUCCCCCAGUAGCGGCGAGCGAACGGGGAGCAGCCCAGAGCCUGAAUCAGUAUGUGUGUUAGUGGAAGCGUCUGGAAAGGCGCGCGAUACAGGGUGACAGCCCCGUACACAAAAAUGCACAUAUUGUGAGCUCGAUGAGUAGGGCGGGACACGUGGUAUCCUGUCUGAAUAUGGGGGGACCAUCCUCCAAGGCUAAAUACUCCUGACUGACCGAUAGUGAACCAGUACCGUGAGGGAAAGGCGAAAAGAACCCCGGCGAGGGGAGUGAAAAAGAACCUGAAACCGUGUACGUACAAGCAGUGGGAGCACGCUUAGGCGUGUGACUGCGUACCUUUUGUAUAAUGGGUCAGCGACUUAUAUUCUGUAGCAAGGUUAACCGAAUAGGGGAGCCGAAGGGAAACCGAGUCUUAACUGGGCGUUAAGUUGCAGGGUAUAGACCCGAAACCCGGUGAUCUAGCCAUGGGCAGGUUGAAGGUUGGGUAACACUAACUGGAGGACCGAACCGACUAAUGUUGAAAAAUUAGCGGAUGACUUGUGGCUGGGGGUGAAAGGCCAAUCAAACCGGGAGAUAGCUGGUUCUCCCCGAAAGCUAUUUAGGUAGCGCCUCGUGAAUUCAUCUCCGGGGGUAGAGCACUGUUUCGGCAAGGGGGUCAUCCCGACUUACCAACCCGAUGCAAACUGCGAAUACCGGAGAAUGUUAUCACGGGAGACACACGGCGGGUGCUAACGUCCGUCGUGAAGAGGGAAACAACCCAGACCGCCAGCUAAGGUCCCAAAGUCAUGGUUAAGUGGGAAACGAUGUGGGAAGGCCCAGACAGCCAGGAUGUUGGCUUAGAAGCAGCCAUCAUUUAAAGAAAGCGUAAUAGCUCACUGGUCGAGUCGGCCUGCGCGGAAGAUGUAACGGGGCUAAACCAUGCACCGAAGCUGCGGCAGCGACGCUUAUGCGUUGUUGGGUAGGGGAGCGUUCUGUAAGCCUGUGAAGGUGUGCUGUGAGGCAUGCUGGAGGUAUCAGAAGUGCGAAUGCUGACAUAAGUAACGAUAAAGCGGGUGAAAAGCCCGCUCGCCGGAAGACCAAGGGUUCCUGUCCAACGUUAAUCGGGGCAGGGUGAGUCGACCCCUAAGGCGAGGCCGAAAGGCGUAGUCGAUGGGAAACAGGUUAAUAUUCCUGUACUUGGUGUUACUGCGAAGGGGGACGGAGAAGGCUAUGUUGGCCGGGCGACGGUUGUCCCGGUUUAAGCGUGUAGGCUGGUUUUCCAGGCAAAUCCGGAAAAUCAAGGCUGAGGCGUGAUGACGAGGCACUACGGUGCUGAAGCAACAAAUGCCCUGCUUCCAGGAAAAGCCUCUAAGCAUCAGGUAACAUCAAAUCGUACCCCAAACCGACACAGGUGGUCAGGUAGAGAAUACCAAGGCGCUUGAGAGAACUCGGGUGAAGGAACUAGGCAAAAUGGUGCCGUAACUUCGGGAGAAGGCACGCUGAUAUGUAGGUGAAGUCCCUCGCGGAUGGAGCUGAAAUCAGUCGAAGAUACCAGCUGGCUGCAACUGUUUAUUAAAAACACAGCACUGUGCAAACACGAAAGUGGACGUAUACGGUGUGACGCCUGCCCGGUGCCGGAAGGUUAAUUGAUGGGGUUAGCCGCAAGGCGAAGCUCUUGAUCGAAGCCCCGGUAAACGGCGGCCGUAACUAUAACGGUCCUAAGGUAGCGAAAUUCCUUGUCGGGUAAGUUCCGACCUGCACGAAUGGCGUAAUGAUGGCCAGGCUGUCUCCACCCGAGACUCAGUGAAAUUGAACUCGCUGUGAAGAUGCAGUGUACCCGCGGCAAGACGGAAAGACCCCGUGAACCUUUACUAUAGCUUGACACUGAACAUUGAGCCUUGAUGUGUAGGAUAGGUGGGAGGCUUAGAAGUGUGGACGCCAGUCUGCAUGGAGCCGACCUUGAAAUACCACCCUUUAAUGUUUGAUGUUCUAACGUUGACCCGUAAUCCGGGUUGCGGACAGUGUCUGGUGGGUAGUUUGACUGGGGCGGUCUCCUCCUAAAGAGUAACGGAGGAGCACGAAGGUUGGCUAAUCCUGGUCGGACAUCAGGAGGUUAGUGCAAUGGCAUAAGCCAGCUUGACUGCGAGCGUGACGGCGCGAGCAGGUGCGAAAGCAGGUCAUAGUGAUCCGGUGGUUCUGAAUGGAAGGGCCAUCGCUCAACGGAUAAAAGGUACUCCGGGGAUAACAGGCUGAUACCGCCCAAGAGUUCAUAUCGACGGCGGUGUUUGGCACCUCGAUGUCGGCUCAUCACAUCCUGGGGCUGAAGUAGGUCCCAAGGGUAUGGCUGUUCGCCAUUUAAAGUGGUACGCGAGCUGGGUUUAGAACGUCGUGAGACAGUUCGGUCCCUAUCUGCCGUGGGCGCUGGAGAACUGAGGGGGGCUGCUCCUAGUACGAGAGGACCGGAGUGGACGCAUCACUGGUGUUCGGGUUGUCAUGCCAAUGGCACUGCCCGGUAGCUAAAUGCGGAAGAGAUAAGUGCUGAAAGCAUCUAAGCACGAAACUUGCCCCGAGAUGAGUUCUCCCUGACUCCUUGAGAGUCCUGAAGGAACGUUGAAGACGACGACGUUGAUAGGCCGGGUGUGUAAGCGCAGCGAUGCGUUGAGCUAACCGGUACUAAUGAACCGUGAGGCUUAACCUUACAACGCCGAAGGUGUUU
rnacentral:rRNA from 1 species